rnacentral:rRNA from 1 species
UACGUAGGGUGCAAGCGUUUGUCCGGAAUUAUUGGGCGUAAAGAGCUCGUAGGCGGUUCGUCGCGUCGGCUGUGAAAACCCGGAGCUCAACUCCGGGCCUGCAGUCGAUACGGGCGGACUAGAGUUCGGCAGGGGGAGACUGGAAUUCCUGGUGUAGCGGUGAAAUGCGCAGAUAUCGGGAAGAACACCCGUGGCGAAGGCGGCUCUCUGGGGACGGUACUGACGCUGAGACGCGAAAAGCGUGGGGAGCGAAACAGG